GGGGAAUAUUGCACAAUGGGGGAAACCCUGAUGCAGCGACGCCGCGUGAGUGAAGAAGUAUUUCGGUAUGUAAAGCUCUAUCAGCAGGGAAGAAAAUGACGGUACCUGACUAAGAAGCCCCGGCUAACUACGUGCCAGCAGCCGCGGUAAUACGUAGGGGGCAAGCGUUAUCCGGAUUUACUGGGUGUAAAGGGAGCGUAGGUGGCGUGCCAAGUCAGAUGUGAAAGCCCGGGGCUCAACUCCGGGAUUGCAUUUGAAACUGGUGUGCUAGAGUGCAGGAGAGGUAAGUGGAAUUCCUAGUGUAGCGGUGAAAUGCGUAGAUAUUAGGAGGAACACCAGUGGCGAAGGCGGCUUACUGGACUGUAACUGACACUGAGGCUCGAAAGCGUGGGGAGCAAAC
rnacentral:rRNA from 1 species